rnacentral:lncRNA from 1 species
CGCCCAACCUCCUGUCGCUUUGUUGAAGAAGUCUCCCCAGAUUCUCCAAUCAGACGUCCACAGGGAGAGACCAAGGCCGGGCUCAUCUCUCUCCUGAGCAUCCAGUGUCUUUUCCAAGCGCUCUUGCCAUCCUCUUCCUUGGGUCAAGCCCCCUACUGGACUCUCAGCUCUCAGAGAGUGGGGACCAAGUCUAGCUCAGCUCGGCGUCUUCUUGGCACCUAGCCCAUGGCCUGGCCCAUUGCGGGCCCUUGGCAACUUGCAAAGAUCCAUCAAAUACAAGAGAAGAAAAGAGAGAAAGGAAUCAGAGCAGAGCUGGCUGGCAGAAUAACGUGCCCAAAUCUGUAUCAACAGGCGAGAAUUCUGUCUCUAAGCUUCUCAGGAGUCAAAGCAAAGAGAUAUGAGUCCCAGCAUCCCAAAGGUCUGACCUCUCUCUGGUGACUCGCGGCUGAGAAGGAAACGAUCCCCUGCACUGAGUGAACG